rnacentral:tRNA from 1 species
ACCUUUAUAAAUAUAAAUGGUUAACAUGCUUGGCUGCUAACCAAUAGAGUGGAGGUUUGAGUCCACUCAGAGGUA